CACACUUCGGCAACCGCCAACGCCGCGUUCGUUGACAAAGCCAUCGCGGAUCUGUUAGCAUCGGGCACAGCCCGCGUAUGGCCGACGCAGCCUCGUGUGGUUUGCCCGUUGGGGGUCGUGCAGCAGGCAACUAAGCUCCGGCUCAUUUGGGACGGCAGGCCGGUAAACGAUUACUUGCACGUCCCCUCUUUCCGCUACGAAGACUUGAAGGCGGUUCCUGGUUGGCUACUCCCAGACGAUUACCUAUUUACUUUGGACCUGGUCUGGUCUGGGUUGACACUACUGCAAUUAGCGGUUUAAGGUCCUGGGUUCGAUUCCUGGGGAGACCCCCGAAUUACUCGGGAGCGCGAGAUUAUGGCUAGCUGCUGAGAUGUGGAGUUGAGGUCACAGUUGAUGGACCAGAUUCGCACGCUGGAUUGGUGGCGAUUGCCGAACCCUCCGUCUCUUCGGGUGUUCGGGUGAAUGGAUGAGGAGGGGUCCCUGAAGGCUGGACCCACCGCCUUGGACUUACAGUUCGUAUGGCGAAGUACAGUGUGGUAGUGGUGGAUGGUGCUAUAAGGUGAUAAAUGAUCUAGAACUGACAAUGUGAUAAAGCGGCCCAGAAGCCUCCCACUCUGUAACAUUACAUUACAUUACAUUACAUUACUUUGGACCUCAAAAGCGGCUACCAUCACCUCGACAUUGACCCAAGGUUCUGGAGAUAUCUCGGCUUCUGCUGGAGAGGCGUCUUCUAUGUCUUCACACAACUGCCUUUUGGCCUCGCUUCCGCCUGCUGGGCGUUCACGAAGCUCAUGUGAGAAGUCAUGCGCCCCUGGCGCAAGCGCGGCUGGCGAUGCUCGGGCUACUUAGACGAUCAGGUGCACGCAGACCAGAACGCUGAUAACUUGGUACGGCGCAGGGCCGAAGUGGUUGCCCAGCUGGAGGCGCUUGGUUUCCCGGUUAAUAAAUAGAAAUUUAUGCUGGGGGCCGUGCACCAUCGCAUUAGAUACUUGGGCAUGCUUAUCGAUACCAAGGACGGCGUUUUCAUUGUGCCAGGCGACAAGCGGGAUCGCCUCCUAUCCACGAUCAAUUGCGUGCUCACGGCGCGGCGCUCGACCGCCCGCUUAUUGGCAUCCCUAAAAGGCCUAAUCCUGUCCAUGUCUUGGGCCCUCGGACCUUGGGCCCGGCUGCGCACCCGAGCUCUCGGUCAACUCGUUGAAACUCGCCAGACUUGGGAAACCCACCUCCUCCUCUCCGAUGAUGCGCGGGAGGAGCUGAUUUUCUGGGAAUCGUCCUUUGAUCGGUUCAACGGCCGCCGGCACCUGUGGGUUCCGUCCGUGGUGCAUUCCCUCAUUUUUUGCGACGCCGCAGGCAAAUCCUCUGAGUCUCUCGGAGGUUGGGGGGCCUGGACCAUCCUCAAUGGCCAGUUGGCGCCAGCGCGCG
rnacentral:lncRNA from 1 species